GACGAACGCUGGCGGCGUGCCUAAUACAUGCAAGUCGAGCGGAAGUUGGAGAGCUUGCUCUUCAACUUUAGCGGCGGACGGGUGAGUAACACGUGGGCAACCCGCCCUGCAGAUCGGGAUAACUCCGGGAAACCGGUGCUAAUACCGAAUAGUUUUCGCCACCUCCUGGUGGCGUACGGAAAGACGGUUUCGGCUGUCACUGCAGGCUGGGCACGCGGCGCGUGAGCUAGUUGGUGGGGGAACGGCCCCCCAAGGCGACGAUGCGUAGCCGACCUGAGAGGGUGAUCGGCCACACUGGGACUGAGACACGGCCCAGACUCCUACGGGAGGCAGCAGUAGGGAAUCUUCCGCAAUGGACGAAAGUCUGACGGAGCAACGCCGCGUGAGUGACGAAGGUUUUCGGAUCGUAAAACUCUGUUGUGAGGGAAGAACAAGUACCAACUAACUACUGGUACCUUGACGGUACCUCACCAGAAAGCCACGGCUAACUACGUGCCAGCCGCCGCGGUAAGAC
rnacentral:rRNA from 1 species